CUCAGGCAGCCUCCUCCUCCCAUGGUCCCCGGCGUAGCAGCAAGUCCGAGCCGAUUUCCCCCCUGCCACGUUCUCCGGCGCGGCCUCCUCCUUACUUCUUCUCCGGCGGUCUCCUCGUUCUCCCGUUCGCUGGCACAGUGAGAAGGACCUCGUCCGAUUUCAUCUUUUUUCUUAGUGAAUGUCCGAUUUCAUCUAAGGUUGCCUAGGCCAAGUUGGUUAAUGGGCUUCCAGCCCAGAAGCGGAGCAGCACCGAACGUAUUGGAUCGUUGGAUGUUGAGAAGCAAGAGUUCCGAGGACACUUUUGACUUUGGUGGUUCCGGGAGUUGUCGGAUUUUAAGAUAAGGGAAACGAUUGUUAUCCCGCCAAACGUCCCGGUGACUCACCCGCUUUCUACCCCCACCUUAUUUAGCACGUUUCUCUCCCGAUCUCUAUCCCGGUCCUCGCCCGCCACCGGCUCUCCUCCGCCGGUUCUCGCCACCGCGCCACGGAGGGCGGCUCCUCCUUUGCCGCUUCACGCUGCCGGCACCAUGAAGGGCCGCUCCUCCUCCGUCGGUUCCCGCGGCCAGCACCCAGGAGGUUGGCUCCUUCCCUGACACCGCCGCAGCUGCCGCCAUGGCCACGGAUCCAUCCUCCACGGCCCAGGCGCGCGCAGAUCUGGUCCUGCCGCCACAGUUCUUCUCGGUUUGCACCUCAAGAUCAUGGGCACAUAGAAUAUCCUCAAGAUGUUUUGUUUAGAUUCGAUUGCUGAUUGUUUUGAUUGAGGAUUGAUGAGGUACUUAGGUAUCCGCGAUGUACCUUAAUGUGUAUUUGUCGUGUACCUUGAUAUAUCCGUGAUGUGGUUGAUGUA